CUCUAGUAAUGUAUCACCUAAGGACAGGAUGUGGUGUCUCUUUCUGAAAAUAUUAAAGAGGUUGGUUCCAGCCCAUCCUGAUCUCCACUUCCCUCGGAUUCCCGCUGUGUACUCACCUCCAGUGUCUCGUGUGCUCGCAGGAUUGAUCUCCCUGUCUCUCGACUCUCUUGGACCAGUGACCCUGACACUGACUCCAGCUUGCUGAUUCAGGCUCUAUCUGCCUGUGCCCUUAUUCAAUAAAGUCCCUAUCUUUAGCAUA